AAGAACCCAGAACAUCAGUUGUUGUAGUAGUAGGUAGACUUUUUUCUAGAAGGUAUUGGGGGAAAACGAUGGUAGAAACAAAAUAGGGCGUUGUUUGCAAGACAAGAAUCAAUGUCAACCAGAGUAUUUGCAUCCAUGAGUAAUUUUGUACAAUACUAAAGGUCUUAAGGUAUUGAAACAGCUUUGAGUGAUCACAGAGAUGAUAGACUCUUUUUCAAAUUCUCUCCUUUUUCUCUCUUUCUGUAUCAGCCAAUAAAGGGUAAGCGGAAAUGAUGACCCCCAACUUUUUCUUGUUACAAGAGAUCUAAUGACACUGCCACACUCACAAUCCUUGCUCUAUAAGCCUGUGACACAAUUGAGACCGUUGUAGGCAGACAUGUAUGUUUAAUGUGGUAGUUUGACUUGUCAUCUUCUCUUCCUGUUUUUUUGGUAGAAGCAUCUUUUGGCCAUGAGCUUCCGUCUUCUUUUAGUAUUGUCCUAGGCGAAAAUUGUUUGUCAGUUGACUUCCCAAACAACGUAAGUAAGAACUUUUAUUUGCUUCUUAGCAUUUUCUGGUUUGAGAUCACCAUAAUUUGUGGAGUGUUACUUUUUUAAUUUGCAGUAGGUUUAGUCACUUUUUCUAAGUAGUUUCCUUUAACUUUCCUCACGUGAAUCAAGAGCAAUCUUAAUACACCAGUUGUCAAAGAAGAUUACUCAGAAGAUCCCAUUCAAGUUGCAUGGUCUUCCAGUUUCAUCAGUUUUGCAUCCUUCUCGAUCCAUCUUCUUUGUUUCAACUAAGAAGAAUGUUCGCAUGUAUGACCUCUUGAAGCAGAAACUCAUUAAAAAGCUUGAGACUGGACUUCGUGAAGUUUCCUCAAUUGCAAUUCAUCCUCAAGGGGAUAAUUUAAUUGUUGGAAGCAGAGAGAAAACUCUGUUGGUUUGAUAUGGACCUUUCGCCUCAACCUUACAAAACACUCCAGUGUCAUUCGAAGGACAUUACAAAUAUGGCCUUCCAUCGCUCAUACCCCCUUUUUGCAUCGUGUUCUGAUGAUUGCACAGCCUAUGUGUUCCAUGGCAUGGUUUAUUCAGAUUUCAACCAGAACCCUCUCAUUGUUCCGUUGGAAAUUCUCCGAGGGCAUGUAAGCUCAAAUGGAAGAGGGGUGAUGGAUUGCAAAUUCCAUCCACGGCAACCUUGGUUGUUCACAGCUGGUGCUGAUUCGGUGAUCCAACUUUACUGUCACUGAAAGAUGAUUCUUGAGAAAUGAUCCUUUGAUUUAUGCAUACUUGAAUGCGACGAUUAAACGGAGCCGUGCUCUAGAAGGAUGAUGCUGAGUCACAUGGCGAUAUAAAUUGAAACCAAAAUGGCGAUGGGAGGGCUGUCCAGCAGCCUUUUCUCAUAAGCUCUGGAUUAAUUUUGUUAUUCUGCAUACGCUAAAUAUAAAUAGGUUCUGAGCAUUAAUCUGGUAAAGAAUCAUAAGAGUUAUCAGUUAGACAAAUUUUCCCCUCAAUUUUGCCUUGUAUGUGGUCAAUUGAAUGUAUUCAGUAAAACUCGCAAUUGUUUUGUUUUUGUAUUUUGAAGGAAAGUUAGAGAAUGCU